rnacentral:rRNA from 1 species
GACGAACGCUGGCGGCGUGCCUAAUACAUGCAAGUUGAGCGCUGAAGGUUGGUACUUGUACCAACUGGAUGAGCAGCGAACGGGUGAGUAACGCGUGGGUAAUCUGCCUUUGAGCGGGGGACAACAUUUGGAAACGAAUGCUAAUACCGCAUAAAAACUUUAAACACAAGUUUUAAGUUUGAAAGAUGCAAUUGCAUCACUCAAAGAUGAUCCCGCGUUGUAUUAGCUAGUUGGUGAGGUAAAGGCUCACCAAGGCGAUGAUACAUAGCCGACCUGAGAGGGGGAUCGGCCACAUUGGGACUGAGACACGGCCCAAACGCCUACGGGAGGCAGCAGUAGGGAAUCUUCGGCAAUGGACGAAAGUCUGACCGAGCAACGCCGCGUGAGGGAAGAAGGGUUUCGGAUCGUAAAACUCUGUUGGUAGAGAAGAACGUUGGUGAGAGUGGAAAGCUCAUCAAGUGACGGUAACUACGCAGAAAGGGACGGCUAACUACGUG